rnacentral:rRNA from 1 species
CUACGGGACGCACCAGUGGGGAAUCUUGGACAAUGGGCGCAAGCCUGAUCCAGCCAUGCCGCGUGAGUGACGAAGGCCUUAGGGUUGUAAAGCUCUUUUGCCGGGGACGAUAAUGACGGUACCCGGAGAAUAAGUCCCGGCUAACUUCGUGCCAGCAGCCGCGGUAAUACGAAGGGGACUAGCGUUGUUCGGAAUUACUGGGCGUAAAGCGCACGUAGGCGGAUUGGUCAGUCAGGGGUGAAAUCCCGGAGCUCAACUUCGGAACUGCCUUUGAUACAGCCAGUCUAGAAUCCGGUAGAGGUGGGUGGAAUUCCUAGUGUAGAGGUGAAAUUCGUAGAUAUUAGGAAGAACACCGGUGGCGAAGGCGGCCCACUGGACCGGUAUUGACGCUGAGGUGCGAAAGCGUGGGGAGCAAACAGGAUUAGAUACCCCUGUAGUC